GGAGGAUCCAAGCGUUAUCCGGAAUCAUUGGGUUUAAAGGGUCCGUAGGCGGUCUUAUAAGUCAGUGGUGAAAUCUCCCCGCUCAACGGGGAAACGGCCAUUGAUACUGUAGGACUUGAAUUAUUAGGAAGUAACUAGAAUAUGUAGUGUAGCGGUGAAAUGCUUAGAGAUUACAUGGAAUACCAAUUGCGAAGGCAGGUUACUACUAAUGGAUUGACGCUGAUGGACGAAAGCGUGGGUAGCGAACAGGAUUAGAUACCCUGGUAGUCCACGCCGUAAACGAUGGAUACUAGCUGUUGGAAGCAAUUUCAGUGGCUAAGCGAAAGUGAUAAGUAUCCCACCUGGGGAGUACGUUCGCAAGAAUG
rnacentral:rRNA from 1 species